GGAGAGGUGACCGAGUGGUCGAUGGUGCUCGCUUGGAAAGCGAGUGUGCCCGUCAAAAGGCACCGAGGGUUCGAAUCCCUUCCUCUCCU
rnacentral:tRNA from 1 species